UUAAACGAUGAGAAGUUGGAGGUGUUUAGGAUGUGUGAGCAGGAGAAGACAGACAAACUAUUGUCCAAAUACAGGGCUUUCUGCGGCAAGGUGAAAACGGAAGUUCUAUAACUGGAGAAAUCAGAAGAACCAAUUCACAAAGCUAUUGUUGGAUUGAUCUCAAGCCAUCAGUUGACCAAAUUGGUUAUGGGGAUCACAAUCCUAAAACCGUCCUCGUGGUAAUGAACAAUACCGUGACUUGUUGAAGUCGAAAAUCAAAGGGGCCAUCAGUGGAUCGUUCUACAUACACAGACACAAACCCAGUUUCUGUGAACUGUAUAUAAUCUGCGGAGGGAAAUUGGUAUUUCUUAGGGAAGAAAAUGAUGAACAGUACAUGGAAGACGAAAUGGGAGUAAUGGUUCCUCAGAUGAAAGAGAAAGGAGGAAGCAUGAAAGGUUGGUUUGGUAA